AUGCACUGUGAGGCCCCCUUGCAUUUUGGUUCUGUCCCAUCUCUUAAGGAGUUAUUCCUCCUAUGUGGUGCACACCUUGAUCACUCGGGAUUUAGUUUAAGCCAGCUUCUAGAUGGUGCCACAGAAAUUGAUACCCUGACCUUAAACUUCCAGGGAGAAAAGCUUUGGAUCCAGCCUGAAAGCAAGCAACUCCGCGCUGCAUUCAACAAGCUAAGGAAGCUGUCUAUUCAUGGCAUAUAUGUUGAGUUUGACCUGUUAUGGACAAUAAAUCUCCUUGAAGCUGCUCCAACAGUUGAGAUAUUCGACAUUGAGGUGUUUGAACAUCCAUGUCUAGUACUGCAUUGGGAGCACGUUGGCAUUGAAAGAGUGCAACCUUCAUGGAAGAUGCCUGGGUUCACAAACUGUAAUAAGUGGCAACUGAGAGAGCUCCACAUCACCAACUUUAGUCCCCUCAUGGAGCUACAUAUGUUAUUUGUUCGCGAGGUGAUGGAUCGAGCGCCAAACUUGAAAACUGUUAUUUUGAAAGAAGACGAAGAACCAUGCGAGGAUUGCGAGGCAAUAGGUCCACUGCCUAAUCCGGUAGGAGGCUUGUUUCCAAGGACCAAAAAUGAGCAAGAAACACUAGCACAGCAACUUAGGGACAACAUGGUCGGCUCCUCGGUCAAGAUAAUUUUCAAAAGUAUUACUUCAACAGUGGUACUCUGA
rnacentral:rRNA from 1 species